rnacentral:tRNA from 1 species
ACCUGGGUGGCUCAGUUGGUUGAGUGUCUGGCUUCCACUCAGGUCAUGAUCUCAUGGUUUGUGGGUUCGAGCCCUAUAUCAGGCU